UUAAAUUUAUUCAGACAAGUUCAGCAAUUCUUGGCAUACCUAAAGUUUUAUGAUAACUAAUCCAUCUCAAACACUUCAUUCACUUUUCCUUCAGCCCUUUUUCCUUUUGCUAGGUGGUAUCUUACCCUUUUAGUUAUAAUCCUCACUUCCACUUAUUCCUCAAUUCACCCAAACCCUCAGGUUCUCUUGAAAACAGCAAUAAGGAACUGUCCCCAAAGCAUAAUGCUGUCUGAAAUAUAUACACAGCCUACUUAAGUCUUUCGAUGUGAUAUCCUAAGUAUUCAAAAUACAAAAUCAAGAGCUUUAGAAGGGGCCUGGGUCACUGAAUUGAACGCUUUCAUUUUAUUCAUACAGAAAUGGGCUCUGAGAAGCUUACUUACUGAACUCAAAAGGUCUCCUAAUUCAACCCUGUAAUCUGAAGAAAUUAUAAACUCAGACUAAAAAUAAUAUUUUCUGGAAUCAACAACAAAGUCAGUGGUGGCGCCAUGACUAUAGCUCAGGCCUGACGACUCCCAGCCAGUUUUCCCACUGCACCCUGCACCAAUAACUCUUCCUUAAAGUUUAAAUUCACUAUUCUCUUAUAGGAUGUCGGGGAUAAAGCGAACACAGACCAAGUCUCCCUGUUUCACAUGGGGGAAAGAGCCCGUCUCCAGAUUUUUUUCUAGCCCCACAACUGCAGCUGCUGCUUCUGACAGCAGAGGCUGGAGCUGGCCCAGGGCUGUUCGGGCUUCACAGGCCGGGCUCCCUCUCGGUGCGGGGGUACCUCCGCGUUAACUGGCUGACUAACUUCCUUUAAAGACUGGAGUAUCUUGAGGCGUAGGUGAAGAUAAAAAACGCCGAAACGCCACCCCACAAAAGCCAUGGGCGUCCAGCCCUUUCCUAACCACGACCUCAGGCCUUGGCCAGGCAGGGAGAAGUGAACACCCCAGCCAGUCAGCAGAGCCGCGUGGGGCAGAGAGUGACUAAGGGGCCACAAGCCGCGCCCCGCCAUAAGUGGGGCACAGACGGAGGACACGGAGGCCAGCGAGGGGACAUGCACUAGUUCCACAGCCCGGUGACCGAGAUGGAGGACAGAGAAGGGACCCCAGCCGCUGGCAGCUGGGAAUCCGUCACACAUACUCACUGCCGCGGCUGUGACCAGGAAGCACCAACCAGGAACCAAAACGCGUAGAGGGACGGGGAGGGGCGAGGACAAAUGAGAGAUACCUAGGCUGCAUCUAUAAUCGGGGACACUUUCUUUGAACGACUUACACGCAAGAGAUGCACUUAUCCGGCAAAACCUGAGGGGAGCGCCCACCCUUCUAUGCCCGAGAGAAAAACUACACCUCCCAUGAUGCCCCUGGGCAGGUUUCAGGACGGGCUCCGCCUCCUCUGUUAACCUCGGGAACGUACUCCCUGUGCCACGUGUCUCGGUACCCUAACAGUGCGUGAGGAACUAGGGCUGUCGCGGUAGGUGUUUUGACCACCUGAAGACCCGUUACAAGGAAUAACCGUCUUCGGGAGCAACUGGCUUCUAGCUUCUCCAGUGCGUUAGGUGACCUUAGGCAGGUCCCUUCCACCUCUAGUUUGAAGUUGAACGUAGUUCACACUGUGUGCUUCCGUCUCUUUAUGGAAUACAAGGCAACAUAUUUAACUCUUUGUGACCCUUGAAGAGCUGCACCCUUAAUAAAGAUUGAAAUAAA